GACGAACGCUGGCGGCGUGCCUAAUACAUGCAAGUCGAACGGACAGGCCCUGCUCUUGCGUGGUGCUUGUUUGGCGAACGGGUGAGUAACACGUGUGUAUCCUCCCCCUGUCUUUCGGAUAUCUUCUGGAAACAGGGGCUCUUAUCGCAUAGGAGCUUCUGCUCCACGUUGUUGGUUGGUAAGUUUCGGCGGUUGGGGAUGGUCUCGCUGCUUAUCGGCUUGUUUGUGGGGUAGGUGCUUACCAAGGCUUUGACGGGUAGCCGGCCUGAGAGGGUGACCGGCCACAUUGGGACUGAGAGACGGCCCAGACUCCAACGGGAGGCAGCAGUGGAGAAUAUUGCACAAUGGGCGGAAGCCUGAUACGGCAACGCCGCGUGCGGGAUGACGGCCUACGGGUUGUAAACAGCUUUCGCCUGUGACGAAGCGUGAGUGACGGUAAUGGGUCAGAAAGCACCGGCUAACUACGUG
rnacentral:rRNA from 1 species